ACAAAUGAAAAAAAUAUAAAUACAUUCGCCCGGAAAAAAAGAAAAGAAGAAGCCUGCAGUCAGCACCAUCUCCAGAGGAAAGAACAGCUGCCACAGAAGAAGACGUGAAGACGACGUGGGACGGUGGGAGAUGAUCAGAGUAGAUAUGGUUUCAUCAGAUAUUCACCCCUCUUGAUUUACCAUUCAUAUAAAAGGAGAAAAGAAACGCGGAGAGAGGAGUAGAGCAAAAUCAAACUGAUAAAGAGAAAAAAAUUUAGCAUCAAAAUCGGUGAUUGCAGAUUCACCUAAGUUUUUCAGGUAUCUUCAUCUUUUCUACACAGAGUGAAAGCAGCAGGAGCAUGAGGAGAAUCGCAAUGGCUCGGUCCUAGGGUCGCACGUCAGAUUUCCAUCGCUCUUAAACUGAGCGCCGCCACCAAUAAAGCGCCUUUUGAUUUCAGCUAUAAUUUCUGUUCAAGGAGCUCCAGAGAAAUUUAGUAUGGCACUCAUUUGAUCAUUGCUCGGAACAUUUCCACAUGGCAAUUUUACCAGAAUUGAAAUCUAUUGUCUUGCAACUUGCAAGUUAUGCUAAUCAAUUUCCAGGUAACAUAAUAGUUGCUAGGGGGAGAGGAGAGGGAGAGAUUUAACUGGUUAUAUGCUUCUGUGUUAGUGGCAGAUCAAUCAUGGAGUUUGGGUGAUGAACUAUAAUAACUAUAACUAUCAGGUUCCCCGGCAUGUAAGGGUUUUGGGAUCUGGUGAACCUUAAGCACAAAUAUCCUCUUGUUCAUUCACAUGGACCUCUUGUUCUUUUGCAAUUUGGAUAUUAGUUCUAUGCUUUAACUAUGUACCUAGUGAAGCUUCUUUAAUUAGUAGCAAAACUACAUUUUCUAUUAUAUGACAGCUAAGUACUUUAUAUAUUA